rnacentral:lncRNA from 1 species
CCGGGCCGGGUUGGGCCCGAGGCGCCGCGGCGGCCGCGCCACCGCGCACCUUCCCGGGGCGCUAGGCCGGCACGCCGCCUGGCUCGGCCGUCGCCUCCCGCAGGCCGCGGCAGCCCGGGGAGCUGCGCGGGGCCCCCAAACCGUGCACCCCCACAGGCCGCCGCCGCGGCUACUUACUUUCAUUUAACACCUCCACCAGGUCUGCGCAGUUCUCGCACAUCGUUCGGCCGCCGCCCCCCCCCUCCCCCGCUUCGGAUCGCAGUGACUGAUCCCGACCGGCGGGGGGGAGGGGAGAGAGGCGGAGGAGGGGGCCGGCCGGCCGGCGGGGCGGGGAGGCGACGAGGGCGGGCGGCGGCGGGGACGGGGCGGAGAGCAGGAGUAUGGGGGAGGGGGCCGGCGGUCCCCGGAGCGGGCGGGGGAGAGGAGGGGGGCGAGGGGAGGUGCGCAGGCCGGAGGGGCGCGGAGGCGCCGGCGGCGGGGAAGGGGGGGAAGGACGGGGGGAGGGGAGAGGGAGGGAGGGGGCGGGUGGGGAGAGAAGCAGCAGAGUCACUUCACCGACCAGACGCCGCGGCCACCGCUGACGCCGCCGCCAUUUUAAUAGAGCGUUCGGGCUGCGCUCGGCUCUUUCCGCCCGAGCGAAGGAGCCGACGAGAAACGCCUCGCGCUCUCAUUCCUCCGCCUCCUUCCCUCGCUUCGCCUCCCGCCCUCCCACCUCUCCCUCCGCACACACGCCGCACGCUCCACACCCCGCCGCGGCCGGCUCGCCGCCCUCCCUUUCCUCUUCCGUCUGGCCUCCCCGCCCUCGGUCCACCCCCUCGGCGCGUUCGCCCACCCCGCCCAGCCCGGAUCUCUGUCAGCGGCCGGAAGGGAAACACGAAGCCAGCGCGGCCGCGGGGGGAGUCCGAGUGGCAGCUAGAGACUCUGGUCUCUGGAAGGAAAGCCCCCAAGGAGUACUUGUUACGGGUUAAAACAGUCAUGGUAGGGCUGAACCUAUGUUUGGGUCUCUGCCAGUGA